GUGGUAUUGUUAUAAAGCUUGAAAAAAAAAAUGGCCUAUUUAAAAGUAAAACAAUAUUUUAAAAUAAUUUUUGUUUGCAAUGCAAAGAAUCAAUAUAAAUCUUGUGACGCGCGGUGUUCAACUUUAGUCAGCGCCAGGCGCUUACCGAGGAGGGACGUAUCGCUCGCUGUUGCGCCGCGUAAACUCGCCGGAGUUCGAAAAAUAUAGCGCAACCUACGCAUCUAACACGUUUUGAUACUAGACAAUGAAAGCAUAUUUAAUUCAGAUUAUCAGACUCAAUCGGAUACCAGUACAAAUAUGGAAAAUGAAGAUACAGUACAUGGAAGACGAAUUAUAGAUUUUAGUUUUUUUAUAAAUCAAUUACUUAUACCUAAUUGAUAAACAUGGUGAAAAGUUUGGUUGUCGAUUAAAUAAUUUAAAAAUUGUAAACGAUUUUGUUUAUUGUAACUCAAUCGAGCUAUUCUAGGUUAUAAAAUUCAUCGGUACAAAUAAUAUUUCAUAAACUAUAAAACCAAUAAACUAUUUCGAAAAUAAAAGUGGCAAAGUCUCAAGUUUGUUUGUGCCGCGUGGCGGUCCGCAGGUGUGCGUUGCGUAUUUCACUAGACGCACACGCGCGCAAGUGCUGCCGGCUAUCGUCUAAUUUACCUAAACCUGAGCGAUUCGAUUUUGUAAUAGCGCUCUUAAGGAGUU
rnacentral:lncRNA from 1 species